rnacentral:rRNA from 1 species
GUGGGGAAUCUUAGACAAUGGGGGCAACCCUGAUCUAGCCAUGCCGCGUGAGUGAUGAAGGCCUUAGGGUUGUAAAGCUCUUUCAGCUGGGAAGAUAAUGACGGUACCAGCAGAAGAAGCCCCGGCUAACUCCGUGCCAGCAGCCGCGGUAAUACGGAGGGGGCUAGCGUUGUUCGGAAUUACUGGGCGUAAAGCGCACGUAGGCGGACCGGAAAGUUGGGGGUGAAAUCCCGGGGCUCAACCUCGGAACUGCCUUCAAAACUAUUGGUCUGGAGUUCGAGAGAGGUGAGUGGAAUUCCGAGUGUAGAGGUGAAAUUCGUAGAUAUUCGGAGGAACACCAGUGGCGAAGGCGGCUCACUGGCUCGAUACUGACGCUGAGGUGCGAAAGCGUGGGGAGCAAACAGGAUUAGAAACCCCGGUAGUCC